AGCAGCCGCGGUAAUUCCAGCUCCAAUAGCGUAUAUUAAAGUUGUUGCAGUUAAAAAGCUCGUAGUUGAAUUUCGAGAUCAAAUUGUUGGUCGUGCCUUGGUACGCACUGGCAUUAUUGGUUUCUCCCUUCUGACGAAUCAUGAUGUCAUUAAUUUGGUGUCUUGGGGAAUCAGGACUGUUACUUUGAAAAAAUUAGAGUGUUUAAAGCAGGCUCACGCUUGAAUACAUUAGCAUGGAAUAAUGGAAUAGGACGUUUGAUUCUAUUUUGUUGGUUUCUAGGAUCGACGUAAUGAUUAAUAGGGAUGGUUGGGGGCAUUAGUAUUCAAUUGUCAGAGGUGAAAUUCUUGGAUUUAUUGAAGACUAACUACUGCGAAAGCAUUUGCCAAGGAUGUUUUCAUUAAUCAAGAACGAAAGUUAGGGGAUCGAAGACGAUCAGAUACCGUCGUAGUCUUAACCAUAAACUAUGCCGACUAGGGAUCGGAUGAUGUUAAUUUUUUAAUGACUCAUUCGGCGCCUUAC
rnacentral:misc_RNA from 1 species